GACGAACGCUGGCGGCGUGCUUAACACAUGCAAGUCGAACGGAAAGGCCCUGCUUUUGUGGGGUGCUCGAGUGGCGAACGGGUGAGUAACACGUGAGUAACCUGCCCUUGACUUUGGGAUAACUUCAGGAAACUGGGGCUAAUACCGGAUAGGAGCUCCUGCUGCAUGGUGGGGGUUGGAAAGUUUCGGCGGUUGGGGAUGGACUCGCGGCUUAUCAGCUUGUUGGUGGGGUAGUGGCUUACCAAGGCUUUGACGGGUAGCCGGCCUGAGAGGGUGACCGGCCACAUUGGGACUGAGAUACGGCCCAGACUCCUACGGGAGGCAGCAGGGGGGAAUAUUGCACAGUGGGCGGAAGCCUGAUGCAGCAACGCCGCGGGCGGGAUGACGGCCUUCGGGUUGUAAACCGCUUUCGCCUGUGACGAAGCGUGAGUGACGGUAAUGGGUAAAGAAGCACCGGCUAACUACGUG
rnacentral:rRNA from 1 species